CCCUGGGGGGAUGCAGACAAGGCCUGAGGGAUGGGCUCUGCCCAGGUUUGUUGUGAGGCCUCCCCAGGGUCGCUGAUCUCCCCUUGCUGUCUCUGCCCAGGUGUUGGAGGUCCAGCAGCAGCAGCCAAAGCAGCAGCCAAGGCAGCCAAAUUUGGUGAGUCAGCCCGGGUCUCAGUCUCCCUGCCAGCCCUGGAGAGGCAUUGAGCGGUGCAGGGGAUGGGCACCCGGGCCUGGCACAUCAUCCCACACGAGCAGGGGAUCACACCUGCUGCCUCACCCCUCUCUCUGCAGGUGCUGGGGUUGGAGGGGUGCCCGGUGUGGGCGGAGUGCCCGGAGUGACCCCCGGCGUUGGUGGCGUGCCCGGCUUGGUGCCAGGGGUGGGAGUACCUGGAACUGGAAUCCUUCCCGGGGCAGGCAUCCCCCAAGUAGGGGUGCAGCCUGGUGCUAAACCUCCCAAAUUCGGUACG
rnacentral:lncRNA from 1 species